UGGGGAAUAUUGGACAAUGGGCGAAAGCCUGAUCCAGCCAUGCCGCGUGUGUGAAGAAGGUCUUCGGAUUGUAAAGCACUUUAAGUUGGGAGGAAGGGCAGUUACCUAAUACGUGAUUGUUUUGACGUUACCGACAGAAUAAGCACCGGCUAACUCUGUGCCAGCAGCCGCGGUAAUACAGAGGGUGCAAGCGUUAAUCGGAAUUACUGGGCGUAAAGCGCGCGUAGGUGGUUAGUUAAAUUGGAUGUGAAAUCCCCGGGCUCAACCUGGGAACUGCAUUCAAAACUGACAAGCUAGAGUAUGGUAGAGAGUGGUGGAAUUUCCUGUGUAGCGGUGAAAUGCGUAGAUAUAGGAAGGAACACCAGUGGCGAAGGCGACCACCUGGACUGAUACUGACACUGAGGUGCGAAAGCGUGGGGAGCAAACAGGAUUAGAUACCCAUGUAGUCCCUGAGCGGGCUGGCAAGGCGCAU
rnacentral:rRNA from 1 species